GGGCAAGUGGUGGAAUUGGCAUACACGAGAGACUUAAAAUCUCUUGGCCGUAAGGCUGUGAGGGUUCAACUCCCUCCUUGCCCA
rnacentral:tRNA from 1 species